CUCUGCGUCCUGAGCCUGGAGAUUCUGAAUGUCUCGGUCCCGUCCCUGAGCCUGCCCACUCCCAGGCCUCUCAUUAGAGCUUCUCCUCUGGUGGGAAUGGCCCCUGUGUCUGUCACGGUCGCUAUUCCUAGCUCGCCUGUGUUCCUGGCCUGAUGGUUCCCUGUGCUGCCGAUCUUCCCGUCCUCUCCGGGGAUGAUCCUCGCGUUCCUGAAAUUCAAAAAGAUCCAGUAAAUUAAAGGCAGCCCACAACCUGUGAACAAGAUGCAUUCAAAAAGCCAUUUGUGAUUUGGACUUUGGCACUCAGAGCAAAAUGUCCCACAGAAAUAAGGUGGGCAGCAGUGGUUAUGUUCCCUUGCAAGGCUACACAGACUAUUUCCAUGCUGUCACCAACUACAGCUCUAACACUGCAAGCCCAAGUUCAGAGCCCUAGAAAUAAAUGGAGCUAUUGGCAAACUUGUAAGGAAGCACAUACAGAAAAUACAACUAACAGAGACAGUUAAGUAGUCAUGUACAAGAUAAACAUGUGAAGAAAGGAAGCCAGUUUCCUCUUGUGUCAAAAAUGAGAAAAAAGUAAUUAUAAUUUUAAAAGAUCUCAUUUCAACAAUAAUAAAAAAUAUUCAAUACUCAGGAAUACAUUUAAGAAAUAUGCAAGGCAUGUAAAAAGAAACCUAUAAAAAUUUACUGAUAGAUGGUUUUUAAAAACCUGAAAAAAUGAAGAAACACCACGGUUUCUUGAAAAAGACUCAGUAUUGAAAAUCAGCCUGAUAUAAACUGUUUGAAACAUAUAACAUCUAUUAAUAUAUCAUUAAAAAAAUAAAUCAGGGGGCGCCUGGGUGGCGCAGUCGGUUAAGCGUCCGACUUCAGCCAGGUCACGAUCUCGCGGUCCGUGAGUUUGAGCCCCGCGUCAGGCUCUGGGCUGAUGGCUCAGAGCCUGGAGCCUGUUUCCGAUUCUGUGUCUCCCUCUCUCUCUGCCCCUCCCCCGUUCAUGCUCUGUCUCUCUCUGUCCCAAAAAUAAAUAAACGUUGAAAAAAAAAAAUUUAAAAAAAAAAAAUAAAAAUAAAUCAGUAACACAAAUAAUUCAACAGAAAAAAAUAGGCAAAAGAUAUUAACACGUAAUUUUCAUAACAAAUAAGUAUCUAAUGAACACGUGAAUAUAACAAGCUUAUCCUUACUAAUAACCAAAGCAUCAGAGUUCAAGACAGAGCCCCGCACACUAUAAGCAAGGCUACCCCACCCGGAAAGGGUAAAAAGGUACACCUGAGCACUGAGUUCUCACUGCCUCCCAGGCUCCCAAGGCCUUCUCCUGGCCGCCCACUCUCAAGAGUGGGCCUGCUUACUCCGAGCAGGACUCUGGUUUUUGAGACUUUUUAGCCUCCAAGACAAGCAUCAAGAGGGGGUUUCCAAUGCCUAUCCCUCCUACCUUAAGAUAUUCACAAGCUUGCCACCACCACUUACCUUGAGUACAUUUGCCAGGACUAAUCUCAUUAUGUCCUUUAUCCCUGAUUAAAUGAGUCACAACAAGCCACAGACUCUGGGUCAUCACCCCCACCUCCUGUGAAUUCUAAUUCCCAUAAGGCUGUAUACAAGCACUAUUCCAAUGACUAAUUCUCAGUCUUCAUUUCAAAUACGUGUGGACCAAGCAAAAUUAGCAAAAACUAAAGAAAAAAAUAUGACAAAUUACAUAACCAGAUAAUACAAAAUAACUAAAAUUUCAAUUAUUGAUAAGCAGUAUAGUAUAUAUAAUAUGGUUCCAUUUUUUAAUUAAAAAUUGUGCGGGGUGCCUGGGUGGCUCAGUCAGUUCAUGAUCCAACUUCGUCCCACUUGGGGUCAGGUCAUGAAUUUGCAGUCCAUGGGUUUGAGCCCCGCACUGGGCUCUACGCUGAGAGCUCAGAGCUUGGAGCCUGCUUCGGGUUCUGUGUCUCCCUCUUUCUCUGCCCCUCUCCCGCUCAAACACACACACACACACACACACACACACACACUCACACUCUCUCUCUCUCUCUCUCAAAAAUAAACAUGAAAACAAAAGACAAAAAAACUCUAUGGGAGCACCUGGGUGGCUCAGUCAGCUGAGUGUCUGACUUCAGCUUAAGUCAUGAUCUCGUUGUUCAUGAGUUCAAGCCCCCAUGUCGGGUUCUCUGCUGUCUGUACAGAGCCCACUUCUGAUCCUCUAUGCCCCUCCCCCAAACAACUGCAUGUUAAGACACAUACUAAAACAUAAAAGAAAAAAGUAAUGGAGUCUUGAAGAAUAAAUACCAAACUAUUAAAACGGUUGCCUCUGGGGCACCUGGGUAGCUCAGUCAGUUAAGCAUCCAACUUUGGCUCAGGUCAUGAUCUCACAGUUCGGGAGUUUGAGCCCCAUGUCGGGCUCUGUGCUAACAGCUCACAGCCUUGAAUCUGCUUCCAAUUCUGUGUCUCCCCCCCCCCCCCCCAACUCUCUGCCCCUCCCCAGCUCACGCUCUGUCUGUCUCUCUCUCUCUCUCAAAACUAAAUAAACAUUUAAAAAGUUAAAAAAUGAAAAUAAAAUAAGUAAGAAAUAAAAUGGUUGCCUCUGGGGACUCAGGUGAUUUUUCUGUUGGGGGCUGCAAUUGGGGAUAACAGGAGAAGUAACCACACAUUACGUAUGCCAUACUCUCACCUUUCAUUUUACAUACUUGGGCGUUCUUACAAUGAGCAUGCAAUCGAUAAAUUUAUUUAUUAAAUGGUCGUUCAGUGGUGGAGAAAAGAAUACCUGCAAGCACAAGUCAUGCCUAAGUCACAGGCUGUGUGCAUUCCGCCUUAGGAUUAACCCAUGUGAAAGUCAUUUAGUUUCAACUGUCAAGCCCUUUUGCUUGAAAGUCACUUCCAAGUUUCCAGCUGAUUAAUACACAGAAAUUAGCUUUUAAAGAGAUAAUUUAAGGUCAGAAGGGAAGUUAGCACAGAUAAGCAAAUAAAGAUACUUCAAAAACAAUAAGCACAGAAAAGUUCCAUUCUAAAUGUUUUUAUGUAUUUUUGAGAGGGAGAGAGAGAGAGAAUGAGCAGGGGAGGGGCAGAGAGAGAUGGAGACACAGAAUCAGAAGCAGGCUCCAGCUCUGAGCUGUCAGCACAGAGCCCUACACGGGCCCAAACUCAUGAGCUGUGAGAUCGUGACAGGAGCCAAAGUCGGACGCUUAACUGGCUGAGCCACCCAGGUGCCCCAGCAAAGUUCCAUUCUAAAAGUCUCAGGAUUUGGGGAACCUGGGUGGCUCAGUCGGUUGAGUGUCCUACUUCAGCUCAGGUCAUGAUCUCACGGUUCAUGGGUUCAAGCCCCACGUCAGGAUCUGUGCUGACAGCUCAGAGCCUGGAGCCUGCUUCGGAUUCUGUCUCCCUCUCUCUCUCCACCCCUUCCCCCCUCACGUUCUUUCUCUCAAAAAUAAAUAAAAAACAUUAAAACAAUAAAAAAUAAAUGAAAGUCUCAGGAUUUAUUGUAAAAUGUUCAUUUAGAAACCACAGGUAAAGGGCUGCCAGUUGUGCACUGAAAAAAACAAAAACCUGAAAAAGUACAAGUGGUUUGACAGGCCUAGUAUGGGUGGUGUGGUUCUCGUGGCUGUAUCCUGAGACAGCUAGGGCAGGGCCUGAUCAAUUUAUAUGCAGACCAUCAAGGCUGCCUGGCUUUAUAUCUUUAAGGUAGCAGAAAGCUGACCCAUAGCCUGUCAAAUUAACACGAAAAUACAUUUUUUUUUUAAUUUUUUUUUAACGUUUUAUUUAUUUUUGAGACAGGGAGAGACAGAGCAUGAACAGGGGAGGGUCAGAGAGAGGGAGGCACAGAAUCUGAAACAGGCUCCAGGCUCUGAGCUGUCAGCCCAGAGCCCGACGCGGGGCUCGAACUCACGGACCGCAAGAUCAUGACCUGAGCCGAAGUCUGCCGCUUAACCGACUGAGCCACCCAGGUGCCCCAACACGAAAAUACAUUUUCUUAAUGCCUAUUAGCAUGCUGUUAACAGAAUUUCUUUAAAAAGACUGAAUGCUUGUCUCUCAAGAUUGAGGGCAAAGCAAGAAUGUAUGCUCUCACUACUCUCAUUCGACAUAGUGCUGGAAGUCCUAGCUAAUGCAAUAAGGCAAGACAAGGAAAUAAAACACAUACAGAUUGUAAAGGAACAAAUAAAACUGCCUCUAUAUGAAGAUAUGAUGGUCUAUAUAAAAAAAAAAAAACCCAAGAAUCUACAAAAAAGUCCUCCUGGAAUAAAGAAGUUGAGUUCAAUGAGGUCACAGGAUAUAACAAAAACACAAAAAUCAAUUACACAUACAUGUUUUUCAAGUUUAUUUAUUUUGAGAAAGAGAGAGAACACUAGAGCACAACGUGAGCAGGGGGCGGGGCAGAGAGAGAGAAUCCCAAACAGGCACCCCAAAAACUCAUUAUAUUUCUAUAUAUUAGCAACGAACAGAACAUGUGGACUGCAGUUUAAAGUAUCACUCACCAUCACUCCACCAAAGAAAAAACUUUGUGUAAUCUAACAAAAUUUACGUAGAAUUUGAAUGCUGAAAAUUAUAAACGUGGAAGAAAUAAAUCAAAGAUCUAAAUAGGGGCACCUGGGUGGCUCAGUCCGUUGAGCACAUGACUCUUGGUUUCGGCCCAGGUCACGAUCUCACAGUUUGUGAGAUUGAGCCCUGAGUUGGGCUCCGUGCUGAGUGUGGGGCCUGCUUGGGAUUCUCUCCUCUACCCUCUCUCCCCUACCCCCGCUCGUGCAAUGUGCACGUGCAUGCAUGCGCUCUCUCUCAAAAUAAAUACAUACAUACAUACUUUAAAAGAAUUAAAAAAAAAAUCCAAACAAAUGACACGUACAGUGUUCAUGGAUUGGAAGAGUCAAUCUAGUAAAAAGCCAAUUCUUCCCAAAAUACAGCUUCAUGUGAUUUCUAUCCAAAUCCUAGCAAGAUUUUUUUUUUUAGACACAGACAAGAUUGUUCUAAAAUUUAUACGGAAAGACAAAGGAACUAGUAAAGCUAAGCCAUUUUUAAGAAGAAGAAACAAAGAGGAAUCCAUCUACCCAAUUUCAAAACUUACUAUAUAGUGACAAUAAUCAAGACUGUGUGGUAUUGGCAGAAUGAGAGAGAUCAGUGGAACAGAACACAGAAUCAGAAAUAAAUCCAUGCACAUACCCCCAACUGAUUAAGGAACAAAAGCAAUUCAAGGAAGGCAAGACAAAAAAUGAACCUCAACCCAGGCCUUGCACCUUAUAUCAAAACAAACUCAAAUCAUGAACUUAAAUGUAAAACUUGUAGGGAAAAAAACACGUCUUCGGGAUCCAGAGCGAGGCAUAAAGUUCUUAGACAUGACGCCAAAAGCACGAUCCAUAAAACAUAAAAAGUAAAAGCUGACAAGCUGAACUUCAUGACAAUUUAACAUUUUUGCUCUGAGAAAAACCCUGCUGUGUGAAGAAAAAGACAAGAUACAAGACUGAAGGGAAGUAUUUGCCAAUCACAUACCCAAAAAGGCCUAGUAUCUAGAAUAUACAAAGAAGUCUACAAACUCACCAGUAAGGAAGCAAAUAUACCAACUAAAAAACAGGCAAAAGCCACGAAGGGACAUUUCACCAGACAGGAUAUACAGAUGACAAAUGAACACAUGAAACGAUGUUCAGCAUCGUUAGCCAUCAAGGAAAUGCAAAUUAAAAUCGCAAUGAGGGGCGCCUGGGUGGCGCAGUCGGUUAAGCGUCCGACUUCAGCCAGGUCACGAUCUCGCGGUCCGUGAGUUCGAGCCCCGCGUCAGGCUCUGGGCUGAUGGCUCGGAGCCUGGAGCCUGUUUCCGAUUCUGUGUCUCCCUCUCUCUCUGCCCCUCCCCCGUUCAUGCUCUGUCUCUCUCUGUCCCAAAAAUAAAUAAAAAACGUUGAAAAAAAAAAAUUUAAAAAAAAAAAAAAAUCGCAAUGAGAUAUCGUUAUACGGCUGCUGGAAUGGCUGAAACAAAAACACCGUCAACACCACGUGCUGAGAAUGCAGCAGGGAGGAUGCAGAGAAAGUGGGUCACGCACAGUACCGGUGGGACGUGAAGCAGCACGGCCACGGUCAUGGACUGAAUCGUGUACCCCCAAGAUGCAUCAUGUCGAGUCCCAACCCCAUCCUCUGAAUGUAACCAUUUUUGUGGAAUUUCUUGUUUUCUUUCUUUGUUUCUCUUCUUUCUUUCUCUUUCUUUCUUUCUUUCUUUCUUUCUUUCUUUCUUUCUUUCUUUUCUCUCUUUCUCUCUCUCUCUCUUUCUUUUUCUUUUUUUGAGAUAAGGUCUUUAAAGACAUGGUUAAGUUAAAAUGCCAGCAAAGCCCUAAUCCAAUAUGACUGCUAUGCUUACACGAAGAGAAGACACCAGGGAUGAGCCCACAGCGGAAAGCCCAUGUGAGGACACAGCCAAGAAGGCAGCCAUUUGCAAGCCAAGGAAAGAGGCCUCUGGAGAAAGCAAACCUGUUGACACCUUGAACUUGGACUUUUAGCCUCCAGAGCUAUGAGAAAAUUCACUUCUGUUGCUUCAAGCAUCCAGUCUGCGGUGUUUUGUUAUGGGAGCCCCAGCAAACUAAUGCAGCCAGACACUCUGGAACACGGUCUGGCAACGACCUUACAAUCUAACAACUGCACUCGUGGGCAUUGAUCCCAGAGAAAUGAAGACAUGUCCACACAAAAACCCGUACACAAAUGUGCCAUCACAACCUUCUAUGUAAUAGCCCCAAACUGCAAACAACCUCGAUGUUCUUUAGUGGGCAAAUGGUUAAACCCACACCACUGAGUGUCACUCAGCAACAAAGAGGAACGAACUACCGACAGAUACAACAACCUGAACGGAUCUCUGAAGAAGAAGAAGAACCGUGCUGAGUGAAAAGAGCCAAUCCCUAAAGGUGAUGCGUAUGACUCCAUUUACAUAACGCUCUUGAAGUGACAACACUGGAGAACAGAUGAGAAGUUGCCAGGACUUGAGGGCUAAGGGUGGGAGGGAUGUGGGCGGGACUAUAAAAGGACAACAGGAUGGGUCGUUGUGGUGACGGAAAUGUUUCGCGUCUGGACCACAGCAACGUCAACAUUCUCCUUGUGACACUGUACCAGAAUUCCGUAAGACGGUGCCAGCGGGAGUAACAAGGUAGAGAGCACCUCUGCGUUUCCUUUUUUACAACUGAAUGUGAAUCAACAAGGAUCUUAAAACAAAAAAGUUUAGCUUAAUAAACCAGCAGAAAACAAGCACAAAAACCCAGUUUCUAGAAAAGCCCAUCACAGGUACAGGUAAAACACAUACAAAGCACUCUGUAGUUAUGAUGGGAAGAGGCUCUAGAUUUGCACCUAGUAGCAAAACAUCUCAGCGCACUUACCUGCUUCACUUUGACUGUCGAGUGGUGAGGGCUUCGGCUUCUCUUACUUCGUGGAGACUUGCUUCUUCUCCCUGAGGACUUGUUUUUCUUUUUGGCUGGGGACCUUUUCAGAGCAUGGCACACACAGGGUUUUAUCUCAAUUUCCCUUCCCCCAUAUAAAUUCACUUCAAGUAUCAAGCUUACCUACUAACACAAACAGCACAUUUGUGAACGCCUCUGCUUUUCACACUAAAGGAGGCAGGGGCUCCACUCUCCAAGCCUUGACGUCUUCCUGGCGUUCCAGACCCACAUACACAGCUGCCUGCUGAACGUCCUCACAGAGCAUAAUCCUUGCGUCCCAACCCCUCGACACCCUUUCCUCCCUCAGUCUCUGCCAUCUCAGUAACUGGCACCACCAUGCACCCUGCUCCUCAAGCCAAACACCCAGAAGACACCCUUGACUCUCUUUACUGUCACCACCAGCGGCUCCCUACCCCCCCCCCCCCCCCCCCACAAUCACCUCCACCCGUCAGCAAGUCCCUGGCUCUAUCUCCUCCCUCUCCCACCUCACUCCUACCACACUCUCCUUGAUCACCAGACGGUUUGUGCUCUUUUUUCUAUUUCUAGAACAAUCACGUUCAUUCUGCUUCAGGUUCUUGGCACGUAGGGUCUCCUCAGCCUGGAUCUUUACAAGACUAGAUUAUUCUUAUUUGGGUCUCAACUCAAAUGGCACCUUUUCAGAGAGGCCUUCUCUCACUUGCCUUCAAGCUCUAUCCCAUUCCUGUUUUAACCUCUUCCUAACACUGGUUACUAACUGACACUAUUUUCUGUUACUUUGUCUCAAGGCGAGAGCACAUCAAUUUCGCCAGGGCAGACACGGCCCAUCUCCUUCACCUUUGAGGCCCCAGUACCCAGGGCAGUCUUUAACAGGCAGUAAAAACUAUGUUGAAGGAAUAAAUCAACGGGUCUAUCAAGAGACCAUUUUUCUUCUAAACCUCUACCAGGUAGGUCGCUUAGGCUCUCGACGGGAAACAUCUGGAGGCAGAUCAGUGGAAAGCCAACGACAGCACUCCAUUUGUAGACAGAUGGGGCAAAUCUUUUAUUUCAACUUGAUCAAUGCUAUCUGCUGGGCCGUACUCGGACACGUGCUGGGCACAGGGAUGAAGGACGGGGUGGGGAUCCUGCCCAUUAGGCAUCAGGCGCUUAACGCAAGUGACACGUACCGGAGUAAACAUUCUUUAGCACUAGCACGACCGGGUCACUUCCACCACCUUAGGAUUAAAUCCAAGCUGCUGCGCUCAGCAUUCAAGGUGUGUUUCUCAAGCUAGCCCUGUCCUUUUUCAAUGAGCCCGACCCAAGUCCGUCCCGGGCGCCUUCCCACUUACCGGCUACCUCCUCGGGCUCGGUUCCCUCGGUGACCAGGGCGGCCCGGCUCGCCGGCCGGCGGGGACGCGCUACCGCCAGAGGAAUCUGGGCGGCGGUGGGCGGGAGGCGCGGCUUCCGGGCUGAGGCGCUCCUGCUUCACCUUCACCACCACCGCC
rnacentral:lncRNA from 1 species